CAGCCGCCGCGGUAAUACGUAGGUGGCAAGCGUUGUCCGGAAUUAUUGGGCGUAAAGGGCUCGCAGGCGGUUUCUUAAGUCUGAUGUGAAAGCCCCCGGCUCAACCGGGGAGGGUCAUUGGAAACUGGGAAACUUGAGUGCAGAAGAGGAGAGUGGAAUUCCACGUGUAGCGGUGAAAUGCGUAGAGAUGUGGAGGAACACCAGUGGUGAAGGCGACUCUCUGGUCUGUAACUGACGCUGAGGAGCGAAAGCGUGGGGAGCGAACAGGAUUAGAUACCCGCGUAGUCCCUGUCUCUUAUAC
rnacentral:rRNA from 1 species